rnacentral:tRNA from 1 species
GGAGUUGUGGCUCAGUGGUAGAAAGCUCACCUAGCAAGUGUGAGUCACUUGGUUCGAUCCUCAGCACCA